GACGAACGCUGGCGGCGUGCCUAACACAUGCAAGUCGAACGGGGUGAGCCUCUUCGGAGACUUACUUAGUGGCGAACGGGUGAGUAACGCGUGAGAAACCUGCCUUUCAGUGGGGGACAACAGUUGGAAACGACUGCUAAUACCGCAUAACGUAUUUUAGGGGCAUCCCUUGAAUACCAAAGCUUUAUGUGCUGAAAGAUGGCCUCGCGUCUGAUUAGAUAGUUGGUGGGGUAACGGCCUACCAAGUCGACGAUCAGUAGCCGGUCUGAGAGGAUGAACGGCCACAUUGGGACUGAGACACGGCCCAAACUCCUACGGGAGGCAGCAGUGGGGAAUAUUGCACAAUGGGGGAAACCCUGAUGCAGCGACGCCGCGUGAGUGAAGACGGUUUUCGGAUUGUAAACUUCUUUUAAGAGGGACGAUAAUGACGGUACCUCUUGAAUAAGCCACGGCUAACUACGUG
rnacentral:rRNA from 1 species